rnacentral:rRNA from 1 species
CAAUAGCGUAUAUUUAAGUUGUUGCAGUUGAAAAGCUCGUAGUUGGAUUUUGGGUCGGGGGCACCGGUCCGCUGUUCCGGUGUGCACUGGUGGCCCCUUCCUUUCUGCCGGGGACGUGCGUCGCACUUAAUUGGGUGGCGUUCGGAGUCGGCGUUGUUACUUUGAAAAAAUUAGAGUGUUCAAAGCAAGCCAUCGCUCUGAAUACAUUAGCAUGGAAUAACAUGAUAGGACUCCGGUCUUAUUUUGUUGGUUUCCGAGACUGGAGUAAUGAUUAAGAGGGACAGUCGGGGGCAUCCGUAUUUCAUUGUCAGAGGUGAAAUUCUUGGAUUUAUGAAAGACGAACUUCUGCGAAAGCAUUUGCCAAGGAUGUUUUCAUUAA